rnacentral:lncRNA from 1 species
AUGUUUUCCAUCCCUCAGCAUUUUCCAAGUCCAUUGACUCACAUCAAAGAGGAGGAAGCGGGUACAGAAGUGUGUUCAUGUCAGACCCGGUGGCAUGGUGUUAGUAGCCUCUCCUGGUCAGUUUUGUCCUGGCAGCAGAUCAAGAGCCACCAGGAAGACAGAAGUAUCCGGUUGAAAGCUAUGCCCCAAACCCCUGCAAGGAAUUGAGCAAGUGAGCACCCCUCCAGAGUUGCUGCUCAACAUUAGGACCUCGGCAUGUAUUGUAAGUGCAACCACUGCUGCACGCUGGACAUGAAAGACACCACCCUGCUGCCCCAGAAACUGGAUCUUGCUGCCUCAGCAAUACUUCCAGGGUCUUACACUGCAUCUUUGAUGGAUGUAUUUAUCUCUUAUUUCCCAGAAGAAAGAAAUGUUCCUUUGACUUACCAUAUUGGCUGGGAGAAGUAGAUUUCAGGAGUCUCCACUUGGAUCUUGCAGUGAAAUAGCCUUUUUCCAGGGAUUGGAAAACUAAAUGGGGUGGGGGGAGAUUCUGACAGUUGUUGCCUAGGUGUAUUUCAGUUAUUUAUGUAUAAUAAAUCAGGGUGAUAUUGGGCCCACAAUGAGAUAAAAAUAGGUCAAAAUUCUACUUACAACAAGAUUCCUAUAAGCACCCUCACUGAUUGGUGAACUGCAAUGGAAUUCUGGGGCCUGAAACAUUAGUGGGUGGGCUGUCUAUCCAUGAUUUUAAGAAUGCCAUGCUUAAUUAGCUACCCCUGAAGAUCCCAGAUGUUUUGGAUACCAAAUUAUAAAUAAUUGCCUUAUCAAAGUGGCAGCAACCAUAUACAUGUGUUUGGAGCACCACACCAAUUUUGAUAAGGCAAUUAUUUAUAAUAUGGUAUUCAAAAUUUGAUCUUAUUUCUCAUUUGAUAUCUCCCACCCACAUCUCUGGGCUUCCCAGGUGACACUAGUGGUGAAGAAUCUGUUGCUAAUGCAGGAGACAUAAGAGAUGUAGGUUUGAUCCCUGGGUCAGAAAGAUUCCCUGGAGGAGGGCAUGGCAACCCACUCCAGUAUUCUUGCCUGGAGAAUCCCCAUGGACAGAGGAGCCUGGCAGGCUGCAGUCCAUAAGGUUGCAAAGAGUCAGAGAUGACUGAAGUGACUUGACAUGAAUGCAUCCACAUCUUUGGGCUACAGACAAUAGCUGUUUCAUUUCUUCUUAAAAAUAAUUAUGUUCCUUCACCAAUGAAUUUCUCAGUGUCGUGGGGUAGAAGAUGUUUCUCAACUCUUCUUGGAAGGCAUAUGGGCUGCAUAUGAUACACUCAGGUCACCUUUCCAUAUCUUUCCAAACAUUUGAUUACUUCUGCAUAUACCAGGCAAUUUUUUCUGGCUUCCAAAUUCACCUUACUCAGGGAAUCCUUCAGUUUAGGUUCUAGUUAACUAACUAAGCAAACAACUAUAGUGGACCUUUGAAGAACCCAGGUUUGAAUUGUGGAAGUUCAUUUAUACACAGAUUUUUUCCAAUUUUAAAUACUACAAUACCACAUGACUUAUGGUUGGUUGAAUCCAGAACUGCAGAAUUAAGGAACCCAACCUCAUAUAGGUAGGUCAACUAUAAAUUAAAAAUGGAUUUUUCUACUGCAUGGAAAAUCAGUGCUCCCAACCCCUGCUUUGUAAGGGUCAACUGUACAUUAUAAAUUCAAAUACUCUAAUAGGAUAUUCUUCCCUCAGUUUGGUACCUUUAUACCAUUCCUAUACACUAGUAUGAAAUAAAUUGGGAAAAUAUUAAAACUCUUUGAUAUGUAAAUCUUAUAUUCUCAGCUUUGACUUAAUGUCUCCUGAGUAUGUUGGGAGCUUCAGAAAAAAAGAAAAAGAAACAACUAAGGAUGAGGGAUAAGGAGUUUGUAUUUACCUUGAAAGGUAACUUCCUCAGGUGAAGUCAUUAAAGUGUCCUCAAACAAGUUAGGAGCAGCCUCAUCAUACAGGCAAAGAGGAGCUUCUUUGACUGGCAAACUCUCCAGGAGAGUCAGAGGUUCAGGGUAAUUUGAGUCAUCAAAACCUUCAGGUAUAUCCUCAUUUCUAUUAUUUUCUGAUCAAAGUUAAAUUCCUCAUUAUAUAUCUACAGAGAUGUUGAACUCAGUUGUUGUAAUAUAUCAACUAACAGAAUCAAUGUUUGCUCUAGGAAUUACAGCUUAGUCAUUGAUAGCUCUUGGUUUCACUCCAUUAUUUAGGCAAAGGAUUAACAAAUAUGAAUCUGUAAUUCUCUGUGAGAUUUCUGGAGUGAUUAGAAGAGAUGAUCCAACACCACUGUAGGUGAAUUUCUGAAACUCUUCAUUCUGUCUAGGGUAUUAUAUCAUCAAAAGACUUGCCUUCAGUGGGCACUUUAUUUUAGGUGAUCACAGGUGAUAUUAACUAUUUUAAACUAAGUACCAUGAGAAUCCUGAGUCCCUUCUUUUCAUAUUAGUUUGAUAUUCACUGCCUAGCCAUAGCCAACCCCUCCCCCACCACAUGCACACACAAGCACUUAUUUUUCCCAGAAGGAUUUCUGUUUUGAGUUGAAAUUACAUCUUCUACACUGUAUCUUUGUUUCUUCUUGCAUGUUCCAAUACAGUUAGAAUUAGUUUAGAAAUGCAUCAAAAGUUUUCACUUUGAAAACUCUAAUGAACAGACAAAAAGUGUUUGUAGAUAUUCUUGAGAUGACACAUAUUUACAUGAGCAGGUAUACCUGAAAUUUUCUCUGUCCUGAUAGAUUUCCAGUGAAAUUUUCACAAACAAGUAAUGUACUCAAGGGAUUACAUCCCCAAAGCCCCCGAAUCUCAUAAAUAUAGCCUUGCUUUACAAUGAGUUUUUGACGUUUGUCCUUAUCAUUGAGGUACAAACAUCUGCAGGUAAUAAUUUUCCUUUUCUAUUGAUACAAUAAUAUUUGUUUUUCAUUUUUGUAUUAGAGCUUAAGAUUUGGGUUACUUCAAGCAAAUAAUCCUUUCUUAAGUCCACUUAUUUCUAUGAGCAGUACUUUGUAUUAUUAUAUACAUCAUCUUAUUUAACACAAGAAUUAUGUGAAGUAUUUUUUAAAGAAACAAAUAAAUAAUGAAGGGUUGAAAACUUAUAAAAAUUGUCUAAGAUUUCAUAGAUAAUCAGUGGUAAAGCUAGAAUCUGAUUCCAGGCCUAUAUGGCUGCAAAGCUCAUGGCAUAUCUUUACAAUGCUUUGGUCCAUGCCGUCACUGACAUUCAAAAUAGGCUCUGAUUUUCCCUAUUACCCCUCCUCCACAGUUUUGGAAGUAGCCUUCAUUACCUUUUUUGUUCAUUCAGAGGUUAAACACAACAUAAUAAUAUCUAUCCAUUAUUUUUUCAAAUUAUCUUCUUUACUUGGUCUUUGAACAUUAACUCCAUUCUACUGGAGUUAAGAAAGGUUAUUUUCAAGUCUCCUUAUUUUCUCUUGAAUGAAGAGGUCCUGCUUCCAUCUCUCUUUAACUCCUGAAGCCUUUUUCCUAUGUUUCUUAUACUUAAUGAUUAUCCACAAAACCUCAUGUCUUCAGUAUCUCUUUAGAGCAUUCCACUCUCUUCACUCUUCUUUUCUAUAGAUAUUAAUGCUUUGCUAACCCUGAGGACAUUUUUUUUUUCCUCUACAGUCUUCUCAAGAGACAUAUGCUUUUUCUCUUACUCUUAAUACCCCUGGGCCUGGUAGAGGCUGGUAUUCCUUCUCCUCCACUGGCGCCUACAGACAUUGUUUCUCUUUGGACUACAAACGCUUAUAGUUGAGCUUACAUCAUCAGCCUCUAUAACCAAUCCUCCUUAUCCUCCUCCACCUUUUUGCAAUCACCUACUAACUAGCAUUAUGUUUCCUCAUCUUUGGAAAGUUUUUGGCUUUGGCUUGCUCUACAAGAAUUGUGAUUUUAAUAUCUUCAUAGAGAAGAUCCUUUGAACAUUAUGGCCCCUUAGUUUCUUGAUUUCCCUUCCAAAGAUCUUCUUUUUCUCCCUACUGUAUCCAGUCACUCCAUUGUCAGAUUUACUAGACAGUGUCAUUUGCCAAUAACUGCAGCUUUUGAUCUCAUUUAAGCAUCUCAAACUGUAACUAUCACCAUCUCCUGUCUUUCUAGCUCAUUCUCUUUAGUAGAAUAAUGAAAGCAUUUCCCUGGGGGCCUGACAUUUUUUUGUUGGCUUUACCCGUCUCAUGUACUCAUUCAUCUUAAAUGCUCUGCUUAAAUAAUGGUGGUUUCACUCUCUACUUGCAUCUACACUCAA